rnacentral:rRNA from 1 species
GAUGAACGCUGGCGGCGUGCCUAAUACAUGCAAGUCGAGCGAACGGACGAGAAGCUUGCUUCUCUGAUGUUAGCGGCGGACGGGUGAGUAACACGUGGAUAACCUACCUAUAAGACUGGGAUAACUUCGGGAAACCGUAGCUAAUACCGGAUAAUAUUUUGAACCGCAUGGUUCAAAAGUGAAAGACGGUCUUGCUGUCACUUAUAGAUGGAUCCGCGCUGCAUUAGCUAGUUGGUAAGGUAACGGCUUACCAAGGCAACGAUGCAUAGCCGACCUGAGAGGGUGAUCGGCCACACUGGAGCUGAGACACGGUCCAGACUCCUACGGGAGGCAGCAGUAGGGAAUCUUCCGCAAUGGGCGAAAGCCUGACGGAGCAACGCCGCGUGAGUGAUGAAGGUCUUCGGAUCGUAAAACCCUGUUAUUAGGGAAGAACAUAUGUGUAAGUAACUGUGCACAUCUUGACGGUACCUAAUCAGAAAGCCACGGCUAACUACGUG